rnacentral:rRNA from 1 species
UACGAAGGGGGCUAGCGUUGCUCGGAAUGACUGGGCGUAAAGGGCGCGUAGGCGGUUUGUACAGUCAGGUGUGAAAUUCCCGGGCUCAACCUGGGGGCUGCACUUGAUACGUAUGGACUUGAGUGAGGAAGAGGGUCGUGGAAUUCCCAGUGUAGAGGUGAAAUUCGUAGAUAUUGGGAGGAACACCAGUGGCGAAGGCGGCUCACUGGACCGGUACUGACGCUGAUGCGCGAAAGCGUGGGGAGCAAACGGG